rnacentral:rRNA from 1 species
AGAGUUUGAUUAUGGCUCAGGAUGAACGCUGGCGGCGUGCCUAACACAUGCAAGUCGAACGAAGCAUGCCGGAGGAAGUUUUCGGAUGGAAUCCGGGAUGACUGAGUGGCGGACGGGUGAGUAACGCGUGGGUAACCUGCCCUGUACAGGGGGACAACAGUUAGAAAUGACUGCUAAUACCGCAUAAGCGCACAGGACCGCAUGGUCCGGUGUGAAAAACUCCGGUGGUACAGGAUGGACCCGCGUCUGAUUAGGUAGUUGGCGGGGUAACGGCCCACCAAGCCGACGAUCAGUAGCCGACCUGAGAGGGUGACCGGCCACAUUGGGACUGAGACACGGCCCAAACUCCUACGGGAGGCAGCAGUGGGGAAUAUUGCACAAUGGGGGGAACCCUGAUGCAGCGACGCCGCGUGAGUGAAGAAGUAUUUCGGUAUGUAAAGCUCUAUCAGCAGGGAAGAAAAUGACGGUACCUGACUAAGAAGCCCCGGCUAACUACGUGCCAGCAGCCGCGGUAAUACGUAGGGGGCAAGCGUUAUCCGGAUUUACUGGGUGUAAAGGGAGCGUAGACGGCAGAGCAAGUCUGAAGUGAAAGCCCGCGGCCCAACUGCGGGACUGCUUUGGAAACUGCCCGGCUAGAGUGCUGG